UCACCCCUGAUGCUGAUUCCACAUCUCUGCUACACCUGAGCGUCCAGGUCUGUGACGAGAUCCCGACGUACCAUAGAGAAUGGUCCUGCGGUGGUGAAGACCUACCCGGAUGUCUAGGAAUGAUCAGACCUAUCUACGUUUGGGGACAGAAUUCUGGACCAUGGGUUCUACCAGUGGAUACUGGUAUACCCAUUGGCGGAGAGUCGGGCGGCCGAUUCCUCGUUCUGCAGGCUCACAUCCGG